AUGAAGCUUGUGGAUCUUGUGGAUGUCAAAAUUGGAAGGUCUUAUAAGUUGGUUGUCACCACCUAUGCAGGUCUUUACAGGUACCGAGUUGGUGAUCUUCUCACCGUGAGUGACUUCUACAACGCAACGAUGUUGUUCCUCUUCUCGGGGCACCAUGAUGUCAUCUUAAGCAUAGACCAUGAGAAGAUAAGCGAGGAGGAACUACUCAGGGCAAUUUCACAGGCUAUUGAGCUCCAUCUUGGCCCUCUAGAACAUAUGCUCAGUGGAAGCACCGCGUUUGCAGACAUAUCCAAGUUGACAGGCCACUACGUCCUGUUCUGGGAGAUAACCAAUGCAAGAAGUAAGCAUGUCGUUGGCGACAUCGCAUAUCAAUCCGUCAUGGAGAAUUGUUGCUCAACAAUUGAAGAAUGCUUCGGCCAAAUGUACUGCAAAUUCAGGCAGCAUGCAAACAUCACCACGAUCGAGAUAAGGGUGCUCGAGCAGGCCGCGUUCGACGCUCUGAUGGACUUCUUUGUGUCUAGAGAGGCAUUGGCGGGCCAGUACAAGACUCCAACGGCUAUUUGGUCAAUAGAAGGGAUGAUGGUGCUAGGAGAGAGGGUGGUGGCAAGGUUCUUUAGCAAAGAAAACCCCCGUGGUUCCCUAUAUGAUAAUUACGUGAAGAAAUGA
rnacentral:rRNA from 1 species